rnacentral:rRNA from 1 species
GUCUACGGCCAUGCCACUCUGAACAAGCCCAAUCCCUUCUGAUCUCGGAAGGUAAGCAGGGUCAGGCCUGGUUAGUGCUUAGAUGGGAGAUCGCCUAGGAAGACCAGGUGCUGUAGGCA